UAACAAUCUACACUUAAGUUCCUUUCUUGAGACUCUUGUUGCAGUGUGCGAUGGCUGCGGCAACAAUCGAACCACUUAUAUCACCUUCUAUGCUGACUCACUAGUGCUAAAUCUCUCUCUCUCUCUCCCCACGCUCGAGUUUGCAUAGCGACUAGCUGAAAGGCAAAUUAGAAAAUGGCGCUUGGUGCCUACAAAGAAAGCACUCGAUGAAUGCAAAGGAAAAAGUAUUGAAUAACAUUUGGAUAUGCUUAGAAUUAUAUUGAGAACGCUUUUUUCGGAAAAUUUCGCUUUAUCAAUGGCAGAAAUGUCAACGGCAGCUGCGUGUUCCCAAAAAAAUAAAAAAUUAAAUGGAGAGAAUGAAAGAACAGAACCAAUUGAAACUCAACUGAAGUGCAAUUGAAUGGAAAUGAGUACCACGCCCAGUCCCAGCUCCACGCCCAGCCCAAAAACAGGCAGCGCCAAUUAACAAAGCGCGAGCAGCAGAAAACACGAGAGAGAAAAAUUCUUGUAUCGCUGACCACGCGAAACACAUUAAAAUUCAAAUGCUUUGAUAUACCAA